AUACCAUGGUGGGGACACUUUCUCAACAAGUCUUUAAAUCUCUCCCAAUCAUCAUAAAGAGACUCACCCUCCAACUAUUAAAAAUUGUUGAUCUCUCCUCUCAACUU